AUGUCCCCACGUACACGCCGGUUCCUCCGCGCCUGCCGCCCCACCUGACGACUGCUCGCCACGUUUUGUUAGCC
rnacentral:sRNA from 1 species